rnacentral:lncRNA from 1 species
GUCUGCUCCGGGACUUGGAACAAAAGGGGGAACUCUGAUGAACUCUCUUUCCUCCCCUCUCCCCCGGACGCCGGGGUAUCUCCCUCUCGCAACUUUGCCGCCCCGACUUUCUCUGCUGUCAGGCCGGGAAAAAGUGUCCGAACGCCUCGUGGACUGCAGCGGGGGAAAUGUCCCUUAAAAGUGCGACGAAGUGGGGAAGAAGGUGUAAUUACUAUUAUCAGCAUCUAGAAAGCAUCAUGAAUUUGCUGGAGUACUUCCUAGCACUGACCUCCUUCAUUCUGCGUUGUUCUUACUGGAUCUUUCCAUCAGCCAACAAUAUGGAAGUACCAAUACAAGGUCAAAUCAUUCCUGGAUUCAUCUGGAGUUGCUUAAAAGUUAAAUCAUUGGAAUUUUUGAUGAUACCUUUUCUAUAUGGAUUACAAUUUGAUCGCUGGGAAUUCUCCACCUUAAAGAAGUACCCUCAGGUGACUACAGAUGUGUUAACACCCAGCAUGUUCCGGUAGGAGACUUUCUGGAUGGGGAAGAUUUCCAGGAAUUGGCAACAAGCUCAUUUCACUGGUGGGUUUGCUGAAGCAUUAUCACAAGACAGUCAGAAUGACUGAUGAGUGCUCUUCAGGUGUGAAUCAUGGCAAUACAGUGAAAGACAGUGAUUUACUGCUUUUGAGGGCGUGCAUGUAUAUGAUUAACGGAUGGAAGUGCAGGACUCCAAGAUUUACUUCCUUCCCUUUCCAGCAGAAUUACCUGAGACGAGUAAAAUCUACUGGUGGAGUCACUCCAUUAUUCUUAUCUGUGGAGAUCUAGAUCUUGAUUUGAAAGUUUCUGAGAAAAUCUUCAGCUCAGACUUGAGGGUCAACUUUACCAGCUGAAGGAUCUGCAUUUACUGCUCAACCACAUCUAAUUUGAUGUCCUCUGCAGAUUUAAAAUGUGUGCCUUCUUUUCCGUCACCAAGUCAUCCCUGGGUUACUACUGAACAUCCUUCUCAAUUCCCCCCGACCCAUGGAUGGCUGUUCUCCAUUGUCUGUUUCACCAGAUGUCCUCAAAACAAACAGACAGAAGAAGGAAGUGGCUAAUGGAGCUGUGGAGUCCAAGUGUGACUGCCAAGAGGAAUCCAGCAAAGCCAAAAAGCCCAAGCAUGUAGCCCUGCCCGAAGCACGCCACACGCAUGGAAAACCCAGAGGAAAUGAGUGAGGAUCAAUGGGAAGAAGAGAGCCAGCCAGGAAGUUGAAGAUUUGUCCAGGAGCAGAUAGCUGAAGAGAGAGAGAGAGAAGAGAGAACGGCUUACAGCUCAGGUCCUCUCUCCAUGCUUAGGAACCACUACAAAUGCUACUGCCUUGAGUCUCAUUUUGUUUCCCUCUGGAAACCACAUGUGUACCUUGUUUGCAACAGUAUGGGUAUGGAUGUUUUGGUAGUUCUUACACAUUUAUUUUAAAAUUUAAAGAAGUAGUGCCAUAAAGCUUUAUCAGGAUGUAUUUAAAAUGAAAAUAGUCUCUUGUUAUCUAGCAUGCAACUGAUUCUUUCAAUUUGGUUUGGUUAGUCAGAAUCUUACCAGAAGUCUGUCCAGGUGAUAGGUUAGUUGAGAGCAUCAAGACCAACCAAAAUAAAACAAAAACAAUAGCCUAUGGCAAACUCAUUCUGAUCAUUUCACAUCCUAGAGAAAAGUGCAGAGAAACAAAAAUGAGUCAAUAUUUUAUAAAUUCAGGGUCAAUAUUGUAUGCAAUGUCAAUAGUGUAUGAGUUCCAAAGGUUUUGUGUCACUAUUAAAUUAGAAAUGAUCCAUUUUUAUUCGACGUAUAGUAGAUCGGGCCAUAUAAUGGCCAAUAAAUAAAUAAAUAAAUAAAACCCCCACACCAGAAUACAAAGGAUAGUGAGGAAACGUAUUUUGUACGACAAUUGCAAACCACUUAUGGGCUUCAAUACAAAGUAAUAGAGACCAUCUCUUCUCUUUGGCUUUCCAUUCAUUUUUAGCAUUAGUGAAUUUAUGUCCUGUGCUCUUGACCUUGAGCCCUAAGAGGUGUAUGUCUUUGCCAUGCUUCUGUGGCUACAUUUUAGGAGAGUGAGUGUGCAUUACAUGUCCGUAACCCAGAUCUUAGAUAGUAGAAGGGUGCUGUUAUAAUUUGUGGACAGAGGCUGUAAUUUGGUGCUCAGGGAUUACCUCCUUUGUAUAUGUUUGCCUACUGCAUGCUACCAUUUAUUGUAAGCUUUUUAUUCAUGAUCUUCAUUCUAGUUGAAUCUGUGGAGCUAUUGGUCAUGAGUAGAGAAAUAGAUCUAUAGGGUUUUCUUGAAUGGCAUUUCUCAUUGCUAAUGUGUUCUGUGACCAGCCAGGUUUAUGGAUAAACCCAGUUUUUGUGUUUCUCUGAGAGGUAUGCAUCAAAGCAGUUUUUUCCUCUUCACUUAGGAAUUUUAAUUUUCCUUCAGGGUUCAGUGGGCCAUUUAGUACCUCCAUUAUCUCAUAAGUUAUUCUUACUAUUUAAAUGACUUUUUUUUUUAGGAUGUUAGCAUGUUGGCCCUUUUACUUUUAUUUUCAAAGUCAGACCAAACAAACCAUCAGAGUGCUGUAAAUUUACACCUUACAUUUGUUUGGAAUUCUUUUUAUAUUAAUAUUUUUAGAGUCUUCAUAUGCAAGCAGAAAUUUUCCAUCCCCUCUCCACUGAUCACCAUUGAGGACAGGGCAUGAGAUGGGCAAACCCAUGCUUUUGUGUGCCUGUAAUGGCUAGCCUCUUUGUUACACACUUUAUAUUGGUCGUUAUCUGAUAGAAUUCCAACAAAUGAAAACAUGCCCAAGUUAAAGAAAUUAAAUCUCCUUAUCCAUCACCUUAGAAAAAUGACAACACAGCAUGUAUGUAAUUUAAAAUGACUUGUUGGAAUAUUUAUUGCUAGAUUGGGAGAACAUUUCUACUGAUAAGAAGCUCCUUUGAUUUAUCAAAGUUUUCCAUAUUAUUUGUUAAUUAACUCCAUGUCCUUAAUAUCCACAGCUCAUUUUUCCUAUGAUAAUGACUCCAUUGUGAAACAUAUAAAUAUAAUGAAAAAUAUCCCUACCUGUAUUAAAAAUUGAGAAACCUCAAUUACUUCACACCCAUUGUAUUUUGUAGUCAGCUCAGGACUGUAGUUACAUAACUUCAGUUAUUAUUGCUGGAGCAACAAGAUAAGAGAGUCAUUGAAACAUUGCAAAAGAGAAUGCAGUGGACCAGGGUGGUAAUGUUGUCCUUGUAAUAAGCCUACUCCUGCCAUUGCUGUUAGAUGAAGGUUUUCUUUUUCCAAGUGUUAUAUAAUUAUAUGCAAUUAUUUUUGUCGUUUGGUUUUCCUAUUAUCUUUUUCCUCCUCUUUUUGACACGAAAAUGAUAGUAACUGGAAAAUAUAAACCAAUAAGAUUUGAGCUAUUUACUAUGUUAAAAGAGAAUUUGCCAGGUUUCAAAUUAUUUCCUCAUUUGGAUCUAGCGUGCAGCACUUACUGAUAAGAAUUCUCUAACACAUGUCUAUUUAAAAGUAUUAAAAGUAUUGUGUACACAUUUCAGCAAAUUUUGGCAAAAGGGUGUCCUCUGAUGGGGAAGUGACUGUUCCUUUCUUUUGCCAUUUCCCAGUCUUAAACCCUUGUUUUUACAUCAAGCUCCUUUGUUAAGGAUUCAACAUAAAAGUCUUUGAUAUUAUUGAGUCCAUCUCUGACUCAUUAUUAGCCAACACUUUGUGUCUGGCUGGCAGCUUUUCCGUAAGUGGUAAGGUCAGCCUCAUACAGUAUUGCACAGCCUUUCCCAUUCCUUUUGCGUCAGUGAGAAUCAAAUGAUUCAACAGUGAAAAGCAAACUCUUGGACUGGAAUAGCAAGAUGACCCAUCUCUAAACAAAGCAAACUGACUAGGAUUCUCUCAUGCUUAACAUGCAUCUUACUGGUUCUUUAUGAAGAGCUUUCUCUUGGCUCACAGGCAGAAGGAAUUUUCCUUGUCUUGGAUGAGACUUUUGACUUGGACUUUUGGGUUAAGUUCUGGAGACCAGAAGGCCAAAAUCAAAAGUAUGGGCAGGCUUGAUUUCUUUAGAAGACUCCAGCGGAGAACUGUGUCUCCUUGCUUCUGAUUCUACAUCUCCAUCCAUGGGCCACUGUUUCAGCAACCUCAGCCAGUGCAACACAACCUCAGCCAAGAAGAGUAUGCAGAGAAAGGAGUCCCCUACCUGCCACAAAACUGUUGUCUGAAAACUGUCUCAUAUUGUCUCAAGUUGUCAUUCAUUGUGAAUUAGACCUGUUUAACAUGUAAUCUGCAACAUGCUUCACUGUCUAAUUUUCCAGAGCCCCUCAUAUAAGGAACUGUAUUAUUGGUAUAAUCAUCAUGGUGAAGAAGUUGGUAUGUGGGGGAGAGAUGACAGAAACAGAGAGUAAGUCAGAGCUGGCUGCCUGACAGAUAAAAAGGAAAUGACCAAAAAAAAAAAAAAAGACACAGAAGAAUACUUUGUUGUCCACACAGAAAAGGGAAGUGUAGGUAAGACAGCAGUAGACUAAGAUUCUUAAGACUCAAGUUCUAGUCUUAUUUAUUAGCUAUGGGAGGCCUUGAGGGAGUUCUAGAAUUAAGUGAUCUCUCUUUAUAAAAUAGGAACAGUAAUAACUUCCUGGCUAACUCCCUGGCUGUCUCACAAUGCUGUAGUAGUAAGAAAUAAUUUUAUAAUUAAAGACUAUUUUAGGGCUGAUUACAUUUUUGGGCAGUGGCUCAUACAUGUAAUUUCAACAUUUUGGGAGGCCAAGGUGGGCGGAUUGCUUGAGCCCAGGAAUUCAAGACCAGGCUGGGCAACACAGACCUUGUCACUACAAAAGAAAAAAACAUUAGCUAGGCGUGGUGAUGUAUGCCUGUGGUCCCAGCUACUCAGGAAGCUGAGACAGGAGGAUCACCUGAGCCUGGGAGGUCGAGGCUACAGUGAGCCAUGAUCACACUACUGCACUCCAGCCUGGGAAACAGAGUGAGACUCUGUCUCAAAAAAAAAAAAAAAGGAAUAUUUUACACUUCAAGGUUCUAUACAAAUGUAAAAUAUCAUUCUAUUACUUAUUUAUAAUGCUGAUUAUUCUUUAAAUGACUUUAAAAUGUUAAUCUCUGCUUGAGCCUACGGAGAAGUAUGUAACAAAUUUGUGAAGGAUUGGCAUUAAACAUAGUCAAAAUAAAACAUAGAAAUUAUGGUAAAUAAUUUAACUGGUAAAAUAAUCUAAGUGGUAGUUCUCAGGUAAGUGGAAAUUCGAUUAGCUGAUUGUUUAGGAUUCUUGGUUAUAAGUGACAGAGACCUGACUAAAAGUACAUGAAGCACAUAACUGAGAAGGUUGUGGUAUGGCUCAGCAGAAAUGGGAAAAUCUUGGGACUGGUUCGUGUUUUAUUUACAUUAUCUUUGUUCCCAGGCAGUCUCUGCAUGUAAGUGGCAAAGAUGACUGUCUGAAAAUAUAUACCUACUUUUUUAAAGGGCUAUCUCAAGCCAUUCUGGAGAAGCACCAAAAGCCACUUUGCUUAUACUGGGAGAAUAGUUUGCUUUCCCUAAUUUGUGAUGAGUGAAACACUGAACAGAGACAUAGAAUAAUAUUCUGUAGUUCAGGGUUGGUGUAAUAUGGCCAGUGGGCGGAAUCUGGUCCUCAGACUGAUUUUGCAAAUAAUCUUAUAGAAACACAGCAACACCCAUUCAUUACAUGUUGUUUAUGGUUGCUUUGGGGUUACAAUGGCAGAGUUGAGUAGUUGUGACAGAGAUCACUAGGCUCACCACAUCUGAGAUAUGUACUGACUGACCCUGUACAGAAAGUUUGCUGCUCUUAGAGGAAUGUGUGUUUCUAGUGUCAGCAAUAAACUUCUUGGAUUUGUUUUGUUUUCUCAUCUUUACAUGAUAGUUGCAGACUAGUUGAUCCUUGUGACCUGUUUUUGAAUGCCACUGUGUAUUCUGUCAGGGCCCUCUGAUUCUGUUUCUUAUGGUGCUGAAUGCACAAUUUAAUGCCCUGGAAUUUCCUUCUGUCUUCUGCUAAACUCAUGCCUCUUCAGAUAGUUAAAAUCCUGUUCUACCUUAGAAGUCUCCAGAGUUAUUUUCCUAAAUUAAGAAGAACUGGCUUUGAAGUUACUCAUUAUGCCACACACAAUGGUUGAAAAGAGCAUCUCUUAUGUACUGUGUAUAUUUCAGCAUCCACUCAGCUUCUUAGGUAGAAAAGGAAGAGUCUUCCACAGUGUAUUUUAUCCAUAUUUGGGUCAGAAACUCUUCUUUACCACGGAGCGUGAUGGAAGAAAGAUAUGGGAUGGUAACAGUAGGCCAGGGAUGUAAUAAUCACAAAAUUUGAGAUAUUUUGUGACUGGUGACUCACGCCUGUGAUCCCAGCAUUUUGGGAGGCCAAAGCGGGCGGAUCACCUGAGGUCAGGAGUUCAAGACCAGCUUGGCCAAUGUAGUGAAACCUCAUCUCUACUAAAAAAAUAUAAAAAUUAGCUGGGUGUGGUGGUGCACACCUGUAAUCCUAGCUACUCAGGAGGCUGAGGCAGGAGAAUAGCUUGAACCAAGGAGGUGGAGGUUGCAGUGAGCUGAGAUUGUGCCACCACUGCAUUCCAGUCUGGGUGACAGAGCGAGACUCUGUCUCAAAAAAAAAAAAAAAAAAAAUCUAGAAAAAGAUCUCCAAGAUUCAAUCAUCUAAUUAUUUCUUUUAAAAAUGAGAAAAAUGACUCCUGGUCAGCUUUUACCUUCUUUUUCCAACUGUCUUGACAAUACUUUCAUAUUGGGCUUUUAAAGUCUCAAGUAAUAGGUUUUUAAAACCUCAGCUGAUAAAAGUAUAAAAAUAAAGUUAAAACAUAUUAAAGACAAAACCCAAGAAUCAGCUUCCUCUUCCUUCAUUACUCUUGCAUGGGUGUUGGCUCUAAUUUCUCCAUCUAGUUAGGCAGUCCUUUGCUUUUUAUUGCUUGUUUAUUGAUGACAUUUGCCAUUUGUAGCAAUAGUAAUAGAAUCAUCUAUAUAUUUGUGGCCUUGUUGAAUGUAGAAAAAGGAUAGUGGCAUUUUCUAAUUGUGUAACCCUAUAACACCUUGACGGGGGACUACAGUUCAUAUGCUGGACCUUUUGUGUUUGUUCAUGGCGGGUGGGUUGCUUUAAUAUACUUAGCACAUUGUCCUAAUUGCCAUCCUUUUGGGGAGGGCUAUAUAUCCAAGCUAAUAUGGUAGCAUUUUUGUUUUAACAUAGAGCUGACCCAAGGUAGACGUAAGUGUUGUUCAUUUUUGCCUAAUACUAAUAAAAUUACCUAAUUGUUGAAGCUUGGAGCUUGAAUCUAGGCAUUUUAUUUCAUUUCAAGUACACCCUAGUAUUUUAAAGCAUAAAUAUCCUACUAUCCUCAACAACUUUAGAACAAAAAUAAAUAUUUUAACAAGAAAAAAGCAUGCCAUGACAAGCUGUAACUUAGUAAAGAAAGACAAGGAAUGGUCUCUAUAGACCGAGAAAAAAUAGGUCCUCAGAUAUAUUUAUACCAAAGGAAUGUUAUGAAUGUAAAAAACAGUUUGACUCCCCCCCCCCCGCCAAAAAAAAACUCCACAACCCUAUAUUUUGUUAUCACAAGACUGUUUUAGUGAAUAAAACAGUAUGAAUUGGUUUUACCUGUUUCCAUUUAAUACUUAUUAACUUUAUAAUCGUAUAGCCUGAGGGUUUUAACUUCAAGUACAGCAUGAUGACUAUAAUAGUUUUACACAAGGCAAAUGUGAAAAACAGAAGUAAUUUCUUUUAAAAAGUGUGAAAUAUCUAAAAGGUAUGACUUCAAUACAUCAACUCAGGUGAGACAGACAUGUAACUUCUUUUUCCAUGUUUAAACCUAAUAUUGCUUUUGUGCCUCUGAAGGCUCGGAGUUUCCAUGCCUUCUUAGGACAUGCCACCCUCUCCACACCUGGAUGUGUUCACCAACCCAGAAGCUCUUGGAACCCCAUCAUUUGGGGUUUUUAUGGAGUCCCCAUUAAGUAGGUAUGACUGAUUAAAUCACUGGCCAUUGGUGGUUGACUCAAUCUCCAGCCUCUCUUCCCUCUCUGAAGGUGAAGGGGUGGGAAGGUGAGGCUAAGUUCCAACCCUCGGAUCACAGGGUUGGUUCCUCUGCAACCAGGCUUCAUCGUGAAACAAUACAGGGCCCACCGAGAGUCACCCCAUUAGCAAACUCAGAUGUGAUUGAAAGGGGCUUAUUAUGAAUAUCAAAAGACAUUUCUCUUUCUCCUAUUACUCAGACAGUUACAAGGGUUUCAGAAGCUCUUGCACCAGGAACUGGGAACAAAGACCAAAUAUAUAUGUCUUCUUCUAUUACAAUGUCACAGGUGUGACAGAGUAGGUAAAUGGAGUCUCAGAGAGUCCCCAGAGUAUUCCAUGGAGCCACAAAAUGAAGAAUAAAUGGAUGGUUCUCCCCAUGAUCAAAAGUGGCCUGAAAAUACUUGAGAAUGAGUCAUAACUUAAAAGGCUGUAUAGUAGAAAAGAAUGCACAGAGGACCGAAUGUAAAAGAAGGCACCCCAGUCUCAGCUAGUGUGGAUGCAUGCCAGUGUAGAAAGAUGCUAGUGUGGCUACAUUGGUGCACUGAAGACCAAACUCCUGCAUGGCCCCACAUCCUUGAUACCUUAGAUCUAUAUCAUCCCCUAAAACUUAGGUGUUAUGACAUUCAGGAUAUGCUACCCCAUCAUUUUUUAGGCUGAAGGAAUUUGAGAAAACAGAAGCAGGAAUGUAAUUGCCCAGUGGGUUCUUCCUGCCCUGUGCACAGACAAAACCAGUUCACUGAGACCAUGGUAUUGCAGUUAAGAAAGAGUUUAACAGGAGGCUGGCCACAUGGAAGAAUUACAGUUAUUACAAAUUAGUCUCCCUGAAGGCUCAGAGGUCAGGGUUUUUCAUGGAUAGUUCGGUGAGCAGUGGAUUAGGGGUAAGUGCUGCUGAUUGGUUGGGGAUACAAUCAUAGGGGUGUGGAAAAUGGUCCUUGUGUGCUGAGUCACCUCUGGGUGGGAGGCCAUGGGACCCAUUGAGUCAUGAGUCACGAGGCUGGGUUGGGUCAGUGUGAAAAACAUCUCAAAAGACCAAUCUUAGGUUCAAAAUAGGUGAUAUUACCUGUAGGAGCAAUUGGGAAAGUUAUAAAUUAUAUGACCUCUUGGCCCCAUGACUUCUGAGCAGUAAGAGAUGAUAGAAACUAAACCUACAUUUUAUCAGCACUCAGGCCUCUUCCAUAAUCCUAAUCUUGUGGCCUUUCGUUAGUCUUAUAAAGGUGGUUUGGUAACUGCCCUCAAGCAAGGAGGGGAUCAGUUUUAGGGAGGUGCUAUUAUCAUCCUUGCUUCAAAGUUAAGCUGUAAACUAAAUUCCUCCCAUAAUUAGCUUGGCCUACACCCAGAAAUGAGCAAAGACAGCCAGCCUGUGAUGUUAGAAGCAAGAUGGAGUUAGUCAUGUUAGAUUUCUCUCACUGUCAUAAUCUUUGCAAGGGAGGUUCCAGGAAGGUCAUCCUACCUUUCCCCUCACCCUUCUCAUGUGACACAGGUCAUAAAGCCUAGGAAGGAUUUUCCGACCUUUCCCUGAAGCAGGUCGUAAGACCCUCAUUGGGGAGGUGCCAUUUCUAGACCAAGAGAAAAGGCACAUCCUUAUGUCUGAAGACACAGGGACACAGAGAAGAAUCUGAACAAACAGGUCUUGCUAAGUUCCCCCCAGUUUGUUUUCAUUAGAUCAUGCCCCUUUAUUCAAUGCUGUUUCUCCACAACUAUCCAUUUCUUCAUCAAGCCUAGCAUAAAAAAUACAGGUUUCACGGUUUCUUUGGGUCUUCAUUUCCUUAUAAAGUCUCCUGUACCAUGUAAAACUUAAAUAAGUUUCUCUGCUUUUCUCUUGUUGAUUCUGUCCUUUGUUUUAUAACCCUCAGACAUGAACCUAGUGAUGAGUGAGGGGAAGAUAAUUUAUUUUCCUCUACAGAUGCAAAAGGGAAAAGGGAACAAUCCCUAAACGGAAGUUAUGAUCCAGGGAUCAGAGGCUCAAAAGCAAGAUUAGGUUUAAAUGUAGAAAAAUACAUUCCUCUUUCAUUUUAGAUAUCCCAAAUGCCCAAAUCAACCCAGCUAUUUCUCAGAAGUCUGUUUCCCCUCCACCCUCUGCUCCUCUGUGUAGUGAAACUGUCUCGUUUGGGAGUAAAAUGGCCUGGCUUUCCUUACUGAGUAUACUCUCAAGACUAUUGCCUAUUACUUUUUUCCAUUCCUUCUUGAGAACUACGCUUUUUAAAACAAGAAUUGACUCCAUUUAUCUUUUUCUUUUAGCCUUCUGCUGGGGUAUGCCUUCUCUAAAGCAAUGAAUAAAAAAUGCUUUAGCUGAAUAAAUGGGGCAAGGAUCAAGGAGUACAAGCUAAUAUUUCACAAUAUUAUCCUGCCAUAAAUAAAAGUAUGGUUUAAAUGACAAUGGUGGGGUUAGGAGUUACAGGUCACUGAAACACCACCUUAUUCAUGCUACCAGCCCCUUGGCUUUCCUGAUGGCAGCAGGGAAGCAACACAUAGGUAGAAUUAUGAGCCAACAUCGUGACUGGAGAGGGAUUGAAAAUCUUAUUUGUUGUCUUCCUAGACUAUUACAGUUAUCUGUUGAAAUUAGACUCAAUUCUUUGGCGAAAGUACUCAUUUUUAAGGUCCAUAAUAAAUUGUAACUAUGUAGCCUUUGUUGCAUGAGUUUAGUAUGAGCUGAUUGGUGGGCCACAGUGAAAGGCAGAGGGAAAUGGAUGUUAACUAAGAGGUAGAAGUCCCCUUGAAGUUCUGACCCUGUCACUAAUGAAGUCUUUAUUUCCGUAUUUAGUAAUUGCCUUUUUUUUUUUUUUUUGAGACAGAGUCUUGCUCUGUCGCCAGGAUGGGGUACAGUGGCACAGUAUCUGCUCACUGCAACCUCCGCCUCCCAGGUUCAAGCAGUUCCCCUGCCUCAGCUUCCUGAAUAGCUGGGACUACAGGUGUCUGCCGCCAUGCCUGGCUAAUUUUUGUAUUUUUAGUAGAGACGGGGUUUCACUAUGUUGGCCAGGAUGGUCUCGAUCUCCUGACCUCGUGAUCUGCCCACCUCAGCCUCCCAAAGCUAGGAUUACAGACGUGAGCCACCAUGCCCGGCCAACUGCCUUCUUUAUAUCUCAUUUUAAAAAUUUAUAACAAAGAAGUGGGUUGAUUUUCAAGACCUAGUUGUGUUAGUUUGAAUGAGAUGCAUACAUUUGGCAAGUCUGGGGUCUAAGAAAAGAUAAAGAUCUGAAUGCUGAAAAUCUAGAGAAUUCAGGUUACUGGGGGAUAACUUAAAGUCACUAGGGAAUUCGGGUUACUGGGGGGAUAACUUAAGGUCACUAGGGAAUUCGGGUUACUGGGGGGAUAACUUAAGGUCACUAGAACCCAAAUGCAGGGAAGAGUUGGGUGCUCUUUGGCAAAUAAACAUUCCUGACUUAGCAUUUUUCUUAAACCCGAACGUGCCAGCUGUUUUUUUGUUUUUUUGUUUUUUUGUUUUGUGACCUCAGCCAGGCUUGCGUGUUUAUUCAUCACAUAUUCUAAGCUCAUAUACAACUGUGACCUGAUCCAGCCUUCAAGGAACUCACUCUUGAUUUUAGGAAUCUUUCCACCACUUCGAUUUCAUCUUACUCCUGAAACAGUCAGCCAGAACUGUCUAAUUCAGUCUAUACUUCUGAUACAAAACUCUACCCAGCAACCACUAUGGUUUUGUUGCUUUAGGUACGUGUUAGAAAGCACCCACAUCAAUUUACAGAAAAUCCUUAACUGAAUCUCUAGUCCCAGAGGAGUCAUAUUUUAUUAUAUGGUGCUUUUUAUUUAAAGAGAUCGGUUUAAUAGAAAUUACUCAGGCAUUUGAAGUGAUAGCUUUAAAAUGUGGGACUGGGGAAAAUAAGAACACUUGACCUCUCUCCAUAAAAUUGAAUUGUUCUUUAGGUUUAAAGUUUUGACAGACAAAGAGAAAGUGAGAGCAAGUGAGGGUGAAAAUAUAUCCUUAUUUGGUAAUGAGUACCCAUUAAGAGGACAGUAUAUUACAUUUCAUCUUCUUACUUCACAUUCCUGUUUUAAGGAUUUGUGAGCAAAGUGCUGUGAGACCUCUAGAGUUAAGAGGCUGGAGAUAGGUAGUUUUGAUGGUAUUUUAAGGAGUGCUCCAUAAUGUGUAGUGUCUGAGUGCUGAAGCUUAAUCAGCUUCAAUUAAAUCCAAAACAUACUGAAUAGCUCCUAUGUGUCUGGCAUUGAGCUGUGUGCCAAAGUGGUGGAAAGAUGUAAGAGCCACUGAGGCUUAGAGAUGAAAAGGAUCUUGGAGCCACUGGUUUCCUGCCUGCUGGAGUUUCACCAUCAAGGACCCUUUCGUUAUUUUCCUUCUCCCAUGCAUUUUAUUAAAAUUUUUGGUUUAGUAAACCAAAUUCACUAAUGGGAUGUUAUUUUCAUAUCAAAGAGUAUAAUUCUGCCAAUCAAGGCUUCUGAUCAGCAUAAAAUAAUUAGGUUUCAUACUGAAUGCACAAAUUCUAGUCAAAAGCAAAGCCAUUUGAUGACAUGUCUGCUAUGUUGCCAUUUGCUUUAAGAGAGGUAAAGGUAGCCUGACUUCUGUUCACUCUGUAGUACAGAAUACAUUGUUAACAAGUCAUAGGUAUGUUCUUUUAGGUUUCUAAUUACUGUCAGCCUCUCAUUUCAGACAGGUGAUGUGAUAAGGUGAAAUGAUUACUAUAUUUAGACUCAAAAGUCCUGAGUUUGAGUCCUCGUUUAACGAUCUAGUCCAUGAGCUUCAGUUUUCUCACCUGUUAAAUGGAAAUGAUGAUUAUUUCCUGGAAAUUGCAUUUCCAGGUUGUUUUGAAUGAUAAAUGAUAUGGUGUAUAUAUCAGCUGUUUGCAAACCAGAAAAAGCUAUUCUAUGGUAAACACAUGCAGUGGGCUGAAUUGUGUCUCCCAAAAUUCAUAUGUUGAAGUCCUCACCCCCAGGGCCUCAGAAUGUGACUGUAUUUGGAUCUAGGGUCUUCAAGAGAUAACUAAGUUAGAAUGAGGUCAUUUGGGUUGAUCCUAAUCCAACUGACUGAUAUCCUUAUAAGACGACGAAAUUUGGAUACAGAAAUACACAGAAGACAGGGAGAAGAUGGCCAUCUACAAGCUAAGGAGAGAGGCCUCAGAAGAAACACACCUGCCACACCUUGAAUUUGGACUUCUAGCCAUCAGAACUGUGGGAAAAUAAAUUUCUGUUGUUUAAGCCAGGAGUCCUCAACCCCCGGGCUGUGGACCUGUACCAGUCGGUGGCAUGUUAAGGACUGGGCUCCACAGCAGGAGGUGAGUGGUGGGCGAGUGAGCAUUACUGCCUGAGCUCCACCUCCCGUCAGAUCAGCAGUGGCAUUAGAUUCUCAUAGGAGCACAAACCCUAUUGUAAACUGAGCACGCAAGGGAUCUAGGUUGUGCGCUCCUUACGAGAAUCUAAUGCCUGAUAAUCUGAGAUUGAACAGUUUUAUCCCCAAACCAUCCCCUCCACCACCCCCGUGGUCUGUGGAAAAAUUGUCUUCCACAAAACUGGUCCCUGGUGCCGAAAAGGUUAGGGACCAGCGGCUCAAGCCACCCAGCCUGUGGUACUUUGUUACGGUAGCCCUGGCAAAUGAAUACAACACGUUUUAGACUAUGAUGUUACACAUGCAGUGUGUUGAGAGCCAAAGAACCCAAAUGAUUCGUGGUAUCUGCCCUUGAAGAGUUUUUAAUCUUUUUGGGCAUGAUGAAACAUACACAUGGAAAAUAAAAUAGCAUAUAACCAAGUGCCCAAAUCAGUAAUAAAUACAGUUGACUCCAUAAACAUUUAGGAACCUUCUAUCCCAUGUUUCCACAUUCUAUCCCAGUGGCUUUUGCCACUAAAUUUCUUCACCCACUAUUAGACUGAUGUUUUCAUCUUUCAGUAUCAGACUCAAGCUUUAAUCUAGAAAGAGGGGGUGGGGGGAUAAAUGCUAUACUUUGGAACCAGUCCGGAUAUUUUAAGUAUGUUUUUAAAAAGUAUAAUCCUCACAACAUGAAAGUUAUUAGUUCUAUUUUUCAGGUGAGAAGAGUUAAGGUCAAACAGACGAAAGCUAGUUAGUGGAGGGACUGGUAUUCCAAGCCCAUUCUGGUUAAACUAAAUCUUGUGUUCUUUCCACUAGAAAACUGCUUUUUGUCUUAAUUAUAAUUUUGUGACAAGGAUGUAUAGUCCAUUAAGGAAUAUAUACAACAGAAGAAGCAUUUAAGUGGACUUGAGGUUUGUGAAUCUGAACUAGUUUCUAUCGACUUUCACAUCAGCAGCUCCUAUUCUGGGGAAAGAGAAUGGAGGCUGGGAGUGAUCCUGACAAACCUUGAUGUGCAGGCUUGUGGAGAAACUGGAUUCACACCCAGGCUCGUGGAGUGUGGGAGAGGCUGGCCUGUCACAAUAUCAGGACAGCCUCUCUUAAUAACACUGCAGAAGGAAUCGAGGGCCCUGUGGUUUGCGUUUGUUAGACUUUGGAUGGUGGAGACCUGUGCCUGCUACUUCUCUCAUCUCCUGAUACCUAAUGCAUAGUGUUCAGUAAGUAUUUAUUUGGUGAUAACAAUAUCAAAAACUAGAUAAUGCUUAGAAGAUCCAACACCUUCCAAAAUCUCUGUUAACCAGGUACUGAAAUAUGGUCAACCAGAUGAGCUGAAAUGUCAAGAACUUAUAGACACACAUGGUUUCAUGGUUGUGAAACUAGAAGAUGUGGCAUAUUUUACACAAUGGAGGGAAGAGCAAAGGUUAUGCAUGUGCGGAGGCAGAGCCCCUAGGCAGGUUUCCCUCUUUUCCUUCCUGUGCACUGAUUUUUAUUUUGGUGAACUGAAACAGGGGUCUAACAAACUGGUAUCUCAUUUGUCUUUAUAAACAGAACUGCCAGAUUGGCUUUGCAAUUCAGGGCCCUGUAGGGUGCCCACCUCCUCAGUUUGGGCAGCAGCAUUACAUCUGAGUCUUAGAAUAAAAAUGGAAAGCAAUGGCUCAACCCAUUGGUUUGUCACCAUCCACAUGAAGGAUCUCUAUUGGUAAAAAAACAGACUCCCGUGUUCAAGGCCCUGGGGCUGGAAUCAAAUCCAUCAUUCAUUUAUUUCGGUUUUUUAAGGCUAAAUACAUAGGGAAGAAAAUGAAAUGUGAGAAAGCUGUGCAUUUUCAAUGUCAUCUUGAAAGUGAGUAUCUUUAGACACAUAAAGUAGAUGAGUGGUUAACUUGGGCUGGGAGAGGGAGUGAGGAGUGGUUGUACAUGGCACAAGGUUUCUAUUUAGUGUGAUUGAAAUGUUCUAUAAUUUGAUUGAUGAUUGUACAGUUCUGUAAAUAAACUAAAAUGUAUUGAAUUGUAUAAUUAAAACAUGCAGAUUUUAUAUUUAAAAUAUACUUUGAUAAAAGUGUUUUAAAAAUGAAUAUCUCAUAGGGUAGAAUGAAAUGAAUAAGAGAAACAGUGAGGCAUCCAGGGGACUUUCUGCACAGUGGGUCUGUCAUUAGGCAGGUACGUUGCCACAGCCAGUUCUAAUGCCCACUCAUAGGCCAAUGCCUAGGACAAUUGCUCAGAUAUCGCCUCUGACAGGCAAGUGUUCCAUCAGUAACAGCAGGCAUCGGAAGAUGAUGCCAUUCCCUGCUGUUAGUAUGAUUAUAUUGACUUAGGUUUUUAAUUUUCUUUCUUGCUGUGUUUUUUUUUUUUCACCUUCUUAGCCUCUAAAGCAUGAACAUCUGUGUUUUUCAG